GACGAACGCUGGCGGCGUGCUUAACACAUGCAAGUCGAACGGAAAGGCCCUGCUUUUGUGGGGUGCUCAAGUGGCGAACGGGUGAGUAACACGUGAGUAACCUGCCCUUGACUUUGGGAUAACUUCAGGAAACUGGGGCUAAUACCGGAUAGGGGCUCCUGCUGCAUGGUGGGGGUUGGAAAGUUUCGGCGGUUGGGGAUGGACUCGCGGCUUAUCAGCUUGUUGGUGGGGUAGUGGCUUACCAAGGCUUUGACGGGUAGCCGGCCUGAGAGGGUGACCGGCCACAUUGGGACUGAGAUACGGCCCAGACUCCUACGGGAGGCAGCAGUGGGGAAUAUUGCACAAUGGGCGGAAGCCUGAUGCAGCAACGCCGCGUGCGGGAUGACGGCCUUCGGGUUGUAAACCGCUUUCGCCUGUGACGAAGCGUGAGUGACGGUAAUGGGUAAAGAAGCACCGGCUAACUACGUG
rnacentral:rRNA from 1 species